GACGAACGCUGGCGGCGUGCUUAACACAUGCAAGUCGAACGAUGAAGCCCAGCUUGCUGGGUGGAUUAGUGGCGAACGGGUGAGUAACACGUGAGUAACCUGCCCUGGACUCUGGGAUAACCCCGAGAAAUCGGAGCUAAUACCGGAUAGGACCUUUCCUCGCAUGAGGUUUGGAGGAAAGUUUUUCGGUUUGGGAUGGAUUCGCGGCCUAUCAGCUUGUUGGUGAGGUAAUGGCUCACCAAGGCGUCGACGGGUAGCCGGCCUGAGAGGGUGACCGGCCACACUGGGACUGAGACACGGCCCAGACUCCUACGGGAGGCAGCAGUGGGGAAUAUUGCACAAUGGGCGCAAGCCUGAUGCAGCAACGCCGCGUGCGGGAUGACGGCCUUCGGGUUGUAAACCGCUUUUAGUAGGGAAGAAGGGCUUCGGCUUGACGGUACCUGCAGAAAAAGGACCGGCUAACUACGUGCCAGCCGCCGCAGUAAAAC
rnacentral:rRNA from 1 species